rnacentral:rRNA from 1 species
GAUGAACGCUGGCGGCGUGCCUAAUACAUGCAAGUCGAGCGAACAGACGAGGAGCUUGCUCCUCUGACGUUAGCGGCGAACGGGUAAGUAACACGUGGAGAACCUACCUAUAAGACUGGGAUAACUUCGGGAAACCGGAGCUAAUACCGGAGAAUAUAUUGAACCGCAUGGUUUAAUAGUGAAAGACGGUUUUGCUGUCACUUAGAGGUGGAUCCGCGCCGCAUUAGCUAGUUGGUAAGGUAACGGCUUACCAAGGCAACGAUGCGUAGCCGACCUGAGAGGGUGAUCGGCCACACUGGAACUGAGACACGGUCCAGACUCCUACGGGAGGCAGCAGUAGGGAAUCUUCCGCAAUGGGCGAAAGCCUGACGGAGCAACGCCGCGUGAGUGAUGAAGGUCUUCGGAUCGUAAAACUCUGUUAUUAGGGAAGAACAAAUGUGUAAGUAACUAUGCACGUCUUGACGGUACCUAAUCAGAAAGCCACGGCUAACUACGUG